UAUCUUUGCCGUCGAAUUGGUUCCUGCUGCCCAGGCACACGGGCAGAGGAUUAAAAGGGAAUCGGGUGAAAGUCCCGAACAGUCCCGCUGCUGUGAAGCUCCAUUUCAAACGUCUUGAUAAUUACUCACUGCCACUGAUGCACCGUGCGUCGGGAAGGCUUCAAGACGGGAGUCAGUCAGAAGACCUGCCAUCAUUCAUUCAGCCAU
rnacentral:ncRNA from 2 species